GGGAAGUGUGUUCCGCGCUGGGCUCGAGCGCUGUCCAGAAGUCUUCGGCGCACCGGAAGCCGCCGGAAAAGAGCGAUGGCGGGUUUGACUGUGAGAGACCCUGCGGUGGACCGUUCUCUACGUUCCGUGUUCGUGGGGAACAUUCCUUAUGAGGCUACUGAAGAGCAGUUAAAGGACAUCUUUUCUGAGGUUGGACCUGUUGUUAGUUUCAGGUUGGUUUAUGAUAGGGAGACAGGAAAGCCAAAAGGUUAUGGCUUCUGUGAAUACCAAGACCAGGAGACAGCACUUAGUGCCAUGCGAAACCUAAAUGGCCGUGAAUUUAGUGGGAGAGCACUUCGAGUGGACAAUGCUGCCAGCGAAAAGAACAAAGAAGAGCUGAAGAGCCUUGGAACUGGUGCCCCUGUCAUUGAGUCACCUUAUGGAGAGACCAUCAGUCCUGAGGAUGCCCCUGAGUCCAUUAGCAAAGCAGUUGCCAGCCUUCCACCAGAGCAGAUGUUUGAGCUGAUGAAACAGAUGAAGCUCUGUGUCCAGAAUAGUCCUCAAGAAGCACGGAACAUGCUGCUUCAGAACCCUCAACUGGCUUAUGCUUUGCUACAAGCACAGGUAGUCAUGAGAAUUGUGGAUCCAGAAAUUGCCUUGAAAAUUCUGCAUCGCCAGACAAAUAUCCCUACGCUGAUUGCAGGCAACCCGCAGACAGUCCACAGUGCCGGACCUGGCUCAGGAUCCAGUGUGUCAAUGAACCAGCAGAAUCCUCAGACACCUCAGGCCCAGACUUUGAGUGGAAUGCAUGUCAAUGGUGCGCCUCCUCUGAUGCAAGCUUCCCUGCAGGCUGGAGUUGCAGCACCAGGGCAGAUACCAGCCACUGUAACAGGACCUGGCCCUGGUUCCUUAGCUCCUGGAGGAGGAAUGCAGGCCCAGGUUGGAAUGCCAGGAAGUGGACCAGUGUCCAUGGAGCGGGGACAAGGAACUGUACAGCACUCGCCCGUGGGACCCACCGGGCCUGCAUCAAUUGAGCGAGUUCAAGUGCCAAUGCAAGACCCCAGAGCAGCUAUGCAGCGUGGGCCCUUGCCUGCCAACGUCCCAACGCCUCGAGGUCUGUUGGGAGAUGCUCCAAAUGACCCACGUGGAGGCACUUUACUUUCUGUAACUGGAGAGGUAGAACCUAGAGGUUACCUGGGACCACCUCAUCAGGGUCCGCCCAUGCACCAUGUCCCUGGCCAUGACAGCCGUGGCCCACCCCCACAUGAGAUGAGGGGAGGGCCAUUAACUGAGCCCAGACCUCUAAUGGCAGAGCCAAGAGGACCCAUGAUAGAUCAGAGGGGUCCACCCUUGGAUGGCAGAGGUGGAAGAGAUCCACGAGGCAUAGAUGCACGAGCCAUGGAGGCUAGAGGAUUAGAUGCUAGAGGAUUAGAAGCCCGUGCAAUGGAGGCCCGUGCAAUGGAGGCCCGUGCUAUGGAGGCCCGUGCUAUGGAGGCUCGUGCAAUGGAAGUCAGAGGAAUGGAGGCCAGAAGCAUGGAUACAAGGGGCCCAGUGCCAGGCCCAAGAGGCCCUAUACCUAGUGGAAUCCAAGGUCCCAGUCCAAUUAACAUGGGGGCCGUUGGACCCCAGGGAUCCAGACAGGUCCCAGUCAUGCAGGGAGCAGGCAUGCAGGGAGCAAGCAUUCAGGGUGGAGGCCAGCCUGGUGGCUUUAGUCCUGGCCAGAACCAAGUCACUCCACAGGACCAUGAGAAGGCUGCUUUGAUUAUGCAGGUUCUUCAACUAACUGCAGACCAGAUCGCCAUGCUGCCUCCUGAGCAGAGGCAGAGUAUCCUGAUCUUAAAGGAACAAAUACAGAAAUCUACUGGAGCUCCUUAAAGGUUUUCAAAAAUACCUGGCAACAGAUAUGGAAAUUAAUUCCAUUACUUUGUUGAAAUGUUGCAAAAAGAUGACUUCUGCAUCCUAACCCAUGAAUGACUCAAAUUGGUGCCAGGGCCCCAGUCUUCUUUCCUUCUACUGAUUCACUGUGACUACUGACACCCCAGAGCCAUGUGGAUGG